GCCAGCAGCCGCGGUAAUACGGAGGGUCCAAGCGUUAAUCGGAAUUACUGGGCGUAAAGCGCGCGUAGGCGGUUUAGCAAGUUGUAUGUGAAAGCCCUGGGCUCAACCUAGGAACUGCAUCCAAAACUACUAAGCUAGAGUGCGAGAGAGGAGAGUAGAAUUUCUGGUGUAGCGGUGAAAUGCGUAGAUAUCAGAAGGAAUACCAAUGGCGAAGGCAGCUCUCUGGCUCGUCACUGACGCUGAGGUGCGAAAGCGUGGGUAGCAAACAGGAUUAGAUACCCUGGUAGUCCACGCCGUAAACGAUGACAACUAGCCGUUGGGCAGAUUUAACUGUUCAGUGGCACAGCUAACGCAUUAAGUUGUCCGCCUGGGGAGUACGGCCGCAAGGCUAAAACUCAAAUGAAUUGACGGGGGCCCGCACAAGUGGUGGAGCAUGUGGUUUAAUUCGAUGCAACGCGAAGAACCUUACCAAUCCUUGAAAUCUAGCGAAGUUCGCAGAGAUGUGAAUGUGCCUUCGGGAACGCUAUGACAGGUGUUGCAUGGCUGUCGUCAGCUCGUGUCGUGAGAUGUAUGGUUAAGUCCAGUAACGAGCGCAACCCCUAUCCUUAUUUGCCAGCGCGUAAUGGCGGGAACUAUAGGGAGACUGCCGGGUG
rnacentral:rRNA from 1 species